AUACGUAGGGAGCGAGCGUUGUCCGGAAUUACUGGGAGCAAAGGGCGCGUAGGCGGGACGGCAAGUCAGAUGUGAAAUACAUGGGCUCAACCCAUGGGCUGCAUUUGAAACUGCUGUUCUUGAGUGAAGUAGAGGUAAGCGGAAUUCCUGGUGUAGCGGUGAAAUGCGUAGAUAUCAGGAGGAACACCGGUGGCGAAGGCGGCUUACUGGGCUUUUACUGACGCUGAGGCUCGAAAGCGUGGGGAGCAAACAGGAUUAGAUACCCUGGUAGUCCACGCUGUAAACGAUGAUCACUAGGUGUGGGGGGACUGACCCCUUCCGUGCCGCAGUUAACACAAUAAGUGAUCCACCUGGGGAGUACGGCCGCAAGGUUGAAACUCAAAUGAAUUGACGGGG
rnacentral:rRNA from 1 species